rnacentral:rRNA from 1 species
GGCCGUGACCACACCAUGUUCGAAACCCCGGUUCUCGUCUGAUCACCAAAGUUAAGCAACGUUGGGCCCGGUUAGUACUUGUAUGGGUGCCCGGCUAGGAAUACGGAGUGUUGAGGUCG